rnacentral:rRNA from 1 species
AUUGAACGCUGGCGGCAGGCCUAACACAUGCAAGUCGAACGAGUGGCGGACGGGUGAGUAAUGUCUGGGAACCUGCCCGAUGGAGGGGGAUAACAACUGGAAACGUUAGCUAAUCCCGCAUACCAUCGGAUGUGCCCAGAUGGGAUUAGCUAGUGGGGGGGGUAACGGCUCACCUAGGCGACGAUCCCUAGCUGGUCUGAGAGGAUGACCAGCAACACUGGAACUGAGACACGGUCCAGACUCCUACGGGAGGCAGCAGUGGGGAAUAUUGCACAAUGGGCGCAAGCCUGAUGCAGCCAUGCCGCGUGUAUGAAGAAGGCCUUCGGGUUGUAAAGCACUGUCAGCGGGGAGGCGUUACCCGCACAAGAAGCACCGGCUAACUCCGUGCCAGCAGCCGCGGUAAUAC